rnacentral:rRNA from 1 species
AUGCAAGUCGAGGGGCAGCAUGGUCUUAGCUUGCUAAGGCCGAUGGCGACCGGCGCACGGGUGAGUAACACGUAUCCAACCUGCCGUCUACUCUUGGACAGCCUUCUGAAAGGAAGAUUAAUACAAGAUGGCAUCAUGAGUCCGCAUGUUCACAUGAUUAAAGGUAUUCCGGUAGACGAUGGGGAUGCGUUCCAUUAGAUAGUAGGCGGGGUAACGGCCCACCUAGUCUUCGAUGGAUAGGGGUUCUGAGAGGAAGGUCCCCCACAUUGGAACUGAGACACGGUCCAAACUCCUACGGGAGGCAGCAGUGAGGAAUAUUGGUCAAUGGGCGAGAGCCUGAACCAGCCAAGUAGCGUGAAGGAUGACUGCCCUAUGGGUUGUAAACUUCUUUUAUAAAGGAAUAAAGUCGGGUAUGGAUACCCGUUUGCAUGUACUUUAUGAAUAAGGAUCGGCUAACUCCGUGCCAGCAGCCGCGGUAAUACGGAGGAUCCGAGCGUUAUCCGGAUUUAUUGGGUUUAAAGGGAGCGUAGAUGGAUGUUUAAGUCAGUUGUGAAAGUUUGCGGCUCAACCGUAAAAUUGCAGUUGAUACUGGAUAUCUUGAGUGCAGUUGAGGCAGGCGGAAUUCGUGGUGUAGCGGUGAAAUGCUUAGAUAUCACGAAGAACUCCGAUUGCGAAGGCAGCCUGCUAAGCUGCAACUGACAUUGAGGCU